AAACAAAACAAAAGUUCAAGGCAGCAGAUGAGGAAAUUCACACUUCGAGAGCUGUUUUUAUUCAAUUUUUUCGAUUUUUAUUACUUUUUCUCCGGUAAAAUUGUAAAAAUUCGCCAGCUGAAGCUUUGAGUUAUCGGAUAUUACGGCUAUCAAAAAAGCUCAUUGCAGGGAUGCAGACUUUACGAAUGGUGAAUCGCGGGAUUGGUCGUAUAUUCGAUUGGAGGCAGCAGAAAGCAGAAAUGUUUGUAUUUCUGAUUCCUUCAAGGCUAAUAAUGCGUGCAAAUCCAUGCUUCCGGAAAUGAGGGAAAUAACAACCGACAGAAACAUACAUGUACGAAAAAGUUUCAGGUUCAAUUAGUGUACUAGUGCUGCGACCAAUUUAUCAAACCCUGUGCCAAUAAGUGCAAACCUGAGAAAGUUGCUAUUAAAAUCUGUCAUGAACACAAGUUUCCAUAUUAUGUAGAA